AUUGAACGCUGGCGGCAUGCCUUACACAUGCAAGUCGAACGGCAGCACGGGUGCUUGCACCUGGUGGCGAGUGGCGAACGGGUGAGUAAUACAUCGGAACAUGUCCUGUAGUGGGGGAUAGCCCGGCGAAAGCCGGAUUAAUACCGCAUACGAUCUACGGAUGAAAGCGGGGGACCUUCGGGCCUCGCGCUAUAGGGUUGGCCGAUAGCUGAUUAGCUAGUUGGUGGGGUAAAGGCCUACCAAGGCGACGAUCAGUAGCUGGUCUGAGAGGACGACCAGCCACACUGGGACUGAGACACGGCCCAGACUCCUACGGGAGGCAGCAGUGGGGAAUUUUGGACAAUGGGCGAAAGCCUGAUCCAGCAAUGCCGCGUGUGUGAAGAAGGCCUUCGGGUUUUAAAGCACUUUUGUCCGGAAAGAAAUCCUUGGCUCUAAUACAGUCGGGGGAUGACGGUACCGGAAGAAUAAGCACCGGCUAACUACGUG
rnacentral:rRNA from 1 species